AGUGAAUAGAUACCCAGGUAGUCCCAGCUGUAAACGAUGCGCGUUAGGUGUAUCGGUGACCACGAGUCACCGAGGUGCCGAAGGGAAACCGUGAAACGUGCCGCCUGGGAAGUACGGUCGCAAGGCUGAAACUUAAAGGAAUUGGCGGGGGAGCACCACAACAGGUGGAGCCUGCGGUUUAAUCGGACUCAACGCCGGGAAGCUCACCGGAUAAGACAGCUGAAUGAUAGCCGGGUUGAAGACUCUGCUUGACUAGCUGAGAGGAGGUGCAUGGCCGUCGUCAGUUCGUACUGUGAAGCAUCCUGUUAAGUCAGGCAACGAGCGAGACCCACGCCAACAGUUGCCAGCAUGUCCUCCGGGAUGGUGGGGACACUGUUGGGACCGCCUCUGCUAAAGAGGAGGAAGGAAUGGGCAACGGUAGGUCAGCAUGCCCCGAAUUAUCCGGGCUACACGCGGGCUACAAUGGUCAGGACAAUGGGUAUCAACACCGAAAGGUGAAGGCAAUCUCCUAAACCUGUCCUUAGUUCGGAUUGUGGG
rnacentral:rRNA from 1 species